rnacentral:rRNA from 1 species
AACGGGUGAGUAACACGUGAGCAACUGCCCUCAGCUCUGGGAUAGCUCCGGGAAACCGGAAUUAAUACCGGAUACGACCACGGCCGACAUCGGCCAUGGUGGAAAGGAUUUCCGGCUGAGGAUGGGCUCGCGGCCUAUCAGCUAGUUGGUGGGGUAACGGCCCACCAAGGCGACGACGGGUAGCCGGCCUGAGAGGGCGACCGGCACACUGGGACUGAAGACACGGNCCAGACUCCUACGGGAGGCAGCAGUGGGGAAUAUUGGACAAUGGGGGCAACCCUGAUCCAGCCAUGCCGCGUGAGGUGAUGAAGGCCUUCGGGUUGUAAAGCUCUUUUGGCGGGGACGAUGAUGACGGUACCCGCAGAAUAAAGCCCCGGGUAACUUCGGUGCCAGCAGCCGCGG